UACGAAGGGGCGAAGACGUUGUUCGGAAUCAUUGGGCGUAAAGACGCGUGUAGGCGGUUUAUUAAGUCGAGUGUGAAAUCCCUAGGCUCAACCAAGGAAGUGCAUUCGAAACUAAUGAACUAGAAGAUGGUAGAGGAUGGUGGAAUUCCAGGUGUAGAGGUGAAAUUCGUAGAUAUCUGGAGGAAUACCGGUGGCGAAGGCGGCCAUCUGGGCCAUUCUUGACGCUGAGACGCGAAAGCGUGGGUA
rnacentral:rRNA from 1 species